UGCUUAUGCUGCUAAUGCUGCCACGGCGGGAGCCAUGGACACUGUUAGGUGAGGAGUUCGGGCUCGUAUGAGAACCCAAGGCCUCUCUGCUGGCACUAGUGAGUUUGCCUAAAAAUUACACACAGGUCAUAUCUGAAAACCAAGUUGAAAUAAUCUGCUGAAAAAGACACACAGGAACCUAUGACAAUCAAGGCUGCAAGUCAGAAUUUGGGUCUUCACUGUAAACCUGCUCCAUCCUAGAAGGAGCUAGAGAGCAGACUGUUGAGAAGCACCUACUUGGCUUGUGCCUAGAAGCAUUCUCACGCUGGAGCUUGCACAGUUAUAGAACAGCAUGUGCAACAACAGGUACCUUAAUGUUGCCCAUGUUUUGUGCUUAACUGAGCUGUUUGGAGAGUUCAGUUUAUUUAUUUCAACAGAAAAUAUGGUGUCCUCUCCAAUGUGCUGAAUGAGGAAAUUAAAGUUUGACAGGUUUCUUAAAGGCCUGUGGCUGAAUUUCUUUAAUGUCAGCAUGUGGACAGCCAUGGCAAAGACUGGAAAUACAUGCAAUAGUUUCAAAUGUCAAGAACCUUGGCAGUUUUAAUUCCUUGAGCUUAUAUCUUCAUAAUUAUGGUACUUGGUAGACUCAAAUACUAAAUAUUAAUUGUAUUUACUAGUAGUAUAUACUACUGCUUCUUCUAGUAACUUUUUUAGGGUUAUGUAACACUCCCAAACCUGAAGAAGGAAUGGAAACAAACAAUGGAGAAAUCAUUUUUACUCUGUUUCACACACAAGUGGCUGAAUGAUGAAUUAAGGACCAAGUUUUCCUCAUAGACAGAAUGUUACCAGCAGCUUUUUUUCUAAUGGCAGAAAGGCAGGACAGAGUUAGCACUGAGUGAGCUAAGGAGAGGAGGAAUUAACAUCACACACCGUACUUACUUGCCAAAGGAAGACCAACAAGUUCCAUGCACUUCUUGCACAUAAUAGACCCACAAAGGCGGCAGUGGUGACGUCGGUUUCGAAUACUGAACUUAUUGCCACAGUCUGGGCAGAAGGGAACAUCCUGGUCACUGACCCAAGGCACAACAGACUUCUCUAUAGCUGUGAUACGGCAAGAGUAGGGAGGAAUACACACAACAUAAAAUAUUCAUUCAAUUAAUUCCUCAGCUGGUUAAACUACAAGAACAAACAAGCUCAUACCAACCUCUUAUUUUGGCUGACUCAGUGUUUGCUCUGUCAAACGAUGUAAGCUAGAAGGAGAUAAACAACACAUUCAAGAACAUGGCACUUUGCAAGAAAAAAAACCAAUACAGUCCAGCCCAGUGGGAAAAAGAAACCUAUAGGUUUGGAGAGACAGAAGUCUCAGCCUGUUCUGCACCCGAUUCCUGCAACUUCCCUAUUUAUUUCUAAUGCAAUAUUCAUGAAGUAGUUCCAAACAAUGACACCAAACCUGUACAAAUCAGAGCAUUUUGGACAUAAUCCUUACAGCAUCCAGCACUAUCUGAGACAAAAUGCAAGUAUAUCAUUGGUAGAUUUUGAAGAAUGGAAAGCUGGAAGAAUCAUGACAAACAAAUCAGGGAGAAAUAUAGCCACUGAUGAAGAAAAUAUAUGGGGAAAGAAACAGUUCCUGAAGCAGGUGGAUGUAGUAUCUUCAUCUUGAAACUAGUGCACAAAACAGAAGUCAAAUCCACAGUAUGGGCUCAGACCAAGCACAGUACUCAAGGAUAAAAAAGGAAAACAGUAAUGUGUGAACAGAGUGUUAGUUUAGUAUCCUUUAUAAAAGUGGCUGCUAGAUAAAUGGGCACACUUCAUACUAAAGAUAUAUUAAAUAUUAAAAAUAUUAAAAGCAUCAAAUUUA